GGCCAGCGCGGCCCGUCGCAGGGGUCGCGGGGACCUGGCUCUCCCUUUAGCACCAGGCCGCCGCCGCCGCCAUUUUGCCUUCCACUCGGUGUCGCCGCCGCCGCACUCCGCUGCAGGUUUCCCGGAUGUGGGCAUUUCCCGGCGUCGCUUGCGCGGGGGCCGAGGACUGGGGGCUUCGGCCCGCCCGGCGACGGGGAGUGAGCGCGUCGCCUGCGGCCUCCCGCUUUCCGUAGUCGCUCGUUUCUCUGCGUGUCUGCGAGCGUCGCUCCGCGUCGCCCCUGCCUUGCGCUGCUCAGUUGAACUCUUUCUAUGGACGAAUAUAGAAUAAAAGAUGCGCAUUUGGAGGAGUUUAAUUCUCAGAACCUCGCUGUGGACAUCGGGAUUCGGGAUUUCUAGACGCUUUGAAAUAAAUUGAUUUUUGCUUAGCACUCUUUCCCCGAGUAAAUCCAAAAACUAUAUACAUUGAUGGAUAGAAGACAGUAUGAAAAGAAUUGUCUCUCUUUGAGAUUAAGUACUUACAAUUUUCUUUUGACUGUCUUUUCUACAAUGAAUGACUUUUGUAAUAACAGAAAGUUUUAAAAAUUAGCCCCAGCAAUAAAACUAUAAACAGAUUAAGAA